AUUCCAGCUCCAGUAGCGUAUAUUAAAGUUGUUGCAGUUAAAAAGCUCGUAGUUGGAUUUCUGGUGUGGUGCGCCCGGCCCGUCGCCGCUAGGGCGUCGAGUGCCGGAUGCGCGCCUACCAUCCUUCCCGAGAGCGCGCCUACCCUUCACUGGGCUGGGCGCGCGAUCAGGAUCAUUUACUUUGAAAAAAUUAGAGUGUUUAAAGCAGGCUUACGCUUCUGAAUACAUUAGCAUGGAAUAAUAAGAUAGGACUUUGGCCCUAUUUUGUUGGUUUCUAGGACUAAAGUAAUGAUUGAUAGGGACAGUUGGGGGUGCUAGUAUUUGAUGGCCAGGGGUGAAAUUCUUGGAUUCAUCAAAGACUAACUAAUGCGAAAGCAUUCACCAAGGAUGUCUUCAUUA
rnacentral:rRNA from 1 species